rnacentral:rRNA from 1 species
GUGGGGAAUUUUGGACAAUGGGCGCAAGCCUGAUCCAGCAAUGCCGCGUGCAGGAAGAAGGCCUUCGGGUUGUAAACUGCUUUUGUACGGAACGAAACGGUCCGGGUUAAUACCCUGGGCUAAUGACGGUACCGUAAGAAUAAGCACCGGCUAACUACGUGCCAGCAGCCGCGGUAAUACGUAGGGUGCAAGCGUUAAUCGGAAUUACUGGGCGUAAAGCGUGCGCAGGCGGUUUUGUAAGACAGUGGUGAAAUCCCCGGGCUCAACCUGGGAACUGCCAUUGUGACUGCAAAGCUAGAGUGCGGCAGAGGGGGAUGGAAUUCCGCGUGUAGCAGUGAAAUGCGUAGAUAUGCGGAGGAACACCGAUGGCGAAGGCAAUCCCCUGGGCCUGCACUGACGCUCAUGCACGAAAGCGUGGGGAGCAAACAGGAUUAGAAACCCCAGUAGUCC